rnacentral:misc_RNA from 1 species
AGAAAAACUGUGUGUCAAUGUGUUAAUAGUCCGUCAAGCGUUAUGGGCGUUAAAGAUCUUCGUGGUGAGGAAGAGAAAAUUGUUACCUUGCAGAGAUCGCUCUUUAGCGAUAAGAACGCCUUUUGUACCUUAAGAUAUAUUGUUAAAAUGUUUCAUUCUUUGGUAUGUUCUAUUUCUGUUUUCUUGUUGUUUCACUUUAUUGAACACCAAAAACAGUAAUUAUUAUUAUUA